rnacentral:rRNA from 1 species
UACGGAGGGAGCAAGCGUUACUCGGAAUUAUUGGGCGUAAAGGGCGCGUAGGCGAUUCAGUAAGUCUUAUGUGAAAGCCCAGAGCUUAACUCUGGAAGUGCACGAGAUACUGCUGAAAUUGAGUUCCGGAGAGGAAGGCAGAAUUCCCGGUGUAGCGGUGAAAUGCGUAGAUAUCGGGAGGAAUACCAGUGGCGAAGGCGGCCUUCUGGACGGAUACUGACGCUGAGGCGCGAAAGCCAGGGGAGCAAACGGG